GAGAAAGAUAUUGAGGUUGAGGUUACUGACCAUACUAUGCCUGAGUCAUUCAUACUUGAUGAGGAACAGGGAAGGUAAAUUUAACAAGGUUCUCACAACCUCUGCAAUCCACAGUUCCUAAUUGCAGGAGAGGAUUAUUUAUGUUGAUCUAAUUUAGAGACACGUAAGUUUUGGAUGCUGCUAUGGAGGAGAAGUUAUAGAUCAGUUUUGUUCUGUUGAGGACUUUUUUCAUUUAUAAAGGAAAAGAAUGAGAAAAUGUAAUGCUUGUGUAUUUCAAUGAAUGUUACAUUAUGUUUUGAUCACUUCUGAGAUUGUUUAAUAAAAAUAUGCAUACUUUUAUGGUGUAGUGAUUGAUUAGGCAGUCAACACAAUUGAGAAAGCAAUAUCUUUUUCCCUUUAAUCAUUAAUGUAAUAAACAGUCCAUAACAAAAAAACCAGAGGCAAGCACAUGUUCAAGCAUACAUAAAGCAACAAAUUAUGGCAUGUUCAUGUGAAUACAGAUAACAACAACUCGUGGCAUGUUUUAUACCUUAAUAGUAUAAUACAAAUCCCCCAAAGAAAGAGCAAAGUACAGUUUGAGUGAUUAGU